rnacentral:lncRNA from 1 species
ACAGAACUGUAAUUGCACAGAUUGUUCCUCUUACAAGAGAAAUAUCCAGAGCUCUAGGAAAACAAUUGAUGAAAACGACAUGCGUGACAUUUGGUGCUGAAGACCCGGGUCAGAGAGACUCCUUUGGGGGACCAGUCCCCUGUCCUUGCCCUCACUCAGUGAGAAGACCCACCUAUGACCUCGGGUCCUCAGACCAACCAGCUCAAGGAACAUCUCACCCAUUUCAAAUCGGGACCCCACUGGAAAUCGGACUGUCCAACUCGCCCGGCAGCCACUCCCAGAGCCCCUGGAACUCUGGCCCAAGGCUCUGUGACUGACUCCUUCCCAGAUCUUCUCGGUUCAGCGGCUGAAGACUGACACUGCCCGAUUGCCUGGGAAGCCUAUAGGACCAUCACAGACACUUUGGGUAACUCUUACAGUGAAGGACAAAAGAGCGCCACCCCAGGGAGGAAUGCCAGGGUCCCAUAGAGGGAGACCGACAGUGAAGUGGAGCCUGCCAUGAAUUCACCAAAGGCCAUUCUCCCUUUCUUCCAGAGGAAGAGCGUUUAGCUGGGCCUAUGGCUGCCUACCUAAAGACUGCACCUCUUAGUCACCCUUGUGGCUAGGUGUGGCCACGUGACAAUGGAAUGUAAGUGGAAGUGAUAUAUGCAACUUGCGUUCAUUGGUUUUAAAAAAAAUAUGACCGCCCUACAUUUCCACUCUUUGUCUUAUCUGUGAAUGGGAACAUGGCUGUGUCUGCAGCCCAACUUUGUGCAGCAAGGGACAAGGCCCUAGGGGAAGGUGGAGAAAAAAGGUGGAACAACGUGGACCCAACAACUUGGAUCCCUAUGUGGCCAUGUGGAGUCAUCUCACCCACCUGGGCCGCUCACCCCGAAGACUGUUGUGUGAGGGUGAAAUAAACUUCUGUAUCACUAGCCCCUGCAUUUCAGAAAUUCUUUGUUAUGGCAGUUUUGCCUUUAUCCUAACACAGACAGCAAAGUAUCUUCUGUGGCCCCUUGACUAAUGUCAUUGUUUAAAUUCAUUAUAAAAACUAUAUAAAUAAAAUAUUAAAAAUCAAAUAAAAUAGUAAGAUAACCCUGUGUAA